GUUUAUUAUACCUUGCAAAUAUCACAAAUGAAAUGUCAUUUCAGAUGACCUACAACUAGACCAAGCAUUUCGCGCUCGAUCGAAACAUCAAGGACAAUAAUACCCAAUCAAUAAGUGUGAAAAAGCGACUGCCAACUAAUCGAAUCGCUCAGCGCGGAAGAAAUUGCAUCACCAUUUACGUGCAAUAUACUGUCCAUUUAUCCGAGGAGACUGCAGCGAAGGGUUGCAGAUUUCAAAGCAACAGGACGUGGCCAUCGACAAUUUGCGAGUCGUAGAAAAUUCCACGAUUCGACAUCGACCGAAUCAUCAAGUUCAACAACUCCAGCUGAAUAAAGAGACUUCAUUCAUAAGAACUUUGCGUGGGAACUAAUGACAAUUUAUUUACGAAGUUCGAAUUUAACCCGGAGACUGAAGUGCUGAAGUGUUUUCAAAAAUUAGAAUUGUUUAGGUUUGGA